AAAUACUUUUAUAAUUAAUUUGAAUUAAAUUUUUAAUAAAUUAAAAUUAAUAGAUUACAUUAAAUUAAAUUUUAUAAAAUUUAAUUUUUGUUUUUUGAUUAAUGAUAUUAUUUUAAUUUUAGAAUUUAAUUUAAAUUCUUAAAUAUAUAAUUAAAAAUUUUUAAAAAGAAUAAUUUAAAUAAUUAUUUUUAAUUUAUGAAGUAUAUAAAAUUAUUAAAAUAUUAAUUAAAGUUAUAUUAGAUAAUAAAAUUAUAAUUAAUAAAAUAUGUGCCAGCAAUUGCGGUUAUACAUAUAAUUAAAGUUAAUAUAUUUAAUUAAUUAAUUAAUUAAAGAAGGUGAAUAUAAUUUGAAAUAGUUAAAUUUUAUAUUAUAGGUGUAAUUUAAUUUAAAAGAAAGUAUUUUUAAUUAUUUAAUUUAAUGAUUAAUUUAAUAAAUUUUAUUGAAAACUAGGAUUAGAUACCCUAUUAUGAAAAUGUAAAAAAAAUUAAAAAUUUAGGUUAGUAUUUAAGUAUUAUGAAAACUAAAGAAUUUGGCAGUAUUUAAUGUUUUUUUAGAGGAACUUGAUUUAUAAUUGAUGAUACACGAAAGGAUUUACUUAUAUUUUUUUUAUAUAUUUCCGUUAACAGAAAUUUUUUUAAGAACUUUUAAUUUCAUUAAUAUAAAAUUUAUAUGAAGGUUAUAAUAUAUAUAUAUAUAUAUAUAAUUAAUUAAUAAAUAAUUGUAAUUAUUUCAGGUCAAAAUGUAGAAUAUAUAAGUAAAAUUGAGUUACUAUAAAUUUAAUUUAUAUUUAAUUGGAUUUUUAUUUUUAAUAAUAAAAUGAAAAAGGAUUUAAAAGUAAAUUUAAUUUAAUUAAUUAAAUUGAUUAAAAUAAUUAAAUAUGUACAAAUAGCCCGUCAUUCUUAAUAAAAUAAGACAAGUCGAAACAUAGUAAUGUUACUGGAAAGUGAUGUUAAGAA
rnacentral:rRNA from 1 species